rnacentral:rRNA from 1 species
GACGGAGGAUGCAAGUGUUAUCCGGAAUCACUGGGCGUAAAGCGUCUGUAGGUGGUUUGAAAAGUCCACUGUUAAAAAUUGAGGCUUAACCUCAAAGAUGCCGUGGAAACUUUCAAACUCGAGUAUGGUAGGGGUAGAGGGAAUUUCCAGUGGAGCGGUGAAAUGCGUAGAUAUUGGAAAAGACCACCGAUGGCGAAGGCACUCUACUGGGCCAUUACUGACACUGAGAGACGAAAGCUAGGGGAGCGAAUGGG